rnacentral:rRNA from 1 species
AACGACUCUCGGCAACGGAUAUCUCGGCUCUCGCAUCGAUGAAGAACGUAGCGAAAUGCGAUACUUGGUGUGAAUUGCAGAAUCCCGUGAACCAUCGAAUCUUUGAACGCAAGUUGCGCCCCAAGCCGUCAGGCCGAGGGCACGUCUGCCUGGGUGUCACGC